CCUACGGGAGGCAGCAGUAGGGAAUCUUCCACAAUGGGCGAAAGCCUGAUGGAGCAACGCCGCGUGGGUGAAGAAGGUCUUCGGAUCGUAAAACCCUGUUGUUAGAGAAGAAAGUGCGUGAGAGUAACUGUUCACGUUUCGACGGUAUCUAACCAGAAAGCCACGGCUAACUACGUGCCAGCAGCCGCGGUAAUACGUAGGUGGCAAGCGUUAUCCGGAUUUAUUGGGCGUAAAGGGAACGCAGGCGGUCUUUUAAGUCUGAUGUGAAAGCCUUCGGCUUAACCGGAGUAGUGCAUUGGAAACUGGGGGACUUGAGGGCAGAAGAGGAGAGUGGAACUCCAUGUGUAGCGGUGAAAUGCGUAGAUAUAUGGAAGAACACCAGUGGCGAAAGCGGCUUUCUGGUCUGUAACUGACGCUGAGGUUCGAAAGCGUGGGUAGCAAACAGGAUUAGAUACCCUGGUAGUC
rnacentral:rRNA from 1 species